rnacentral:tRNA from 1 species
ACAGAGCCUUAGUAGUAUAAUCAAUACACUGGUCUUG